GACAGGUAUUAUAUAAUUGCUCUUCGGAGCUUUUAUUGUUAAAUAUGCUAGUCCUUUCAUGAUUAUGUGAUAGGUGGUGCAUGGCCGUUCUUAGUUCGUGGAGUGAUCUGUCUGCUUAAUUGCGUUUCACUAUAAGGAUCUAUAUUCUUUACAGUGUGCAGUGCAUUGACCCCUUCUUCGGAAGCGUGUGUCUUUACGCUCACACUUCAUUAGGUCCUGAAAGCAACGAACGUGACCGCAACCUCUUGUUGCCUCUGUGCUCCUACACGCUCAAUGCGCUAAACACUGGUUUUCUAGCUUAGUGCGUUGGUUGAGGCUUUCUUAAACUAGAGGGACCGCUG
rnacentral:rRNA from 1 species